AUUGAACGCUGGCGGCAGGCCUAACACAUGCAAGUCGCACGAGUGGCGGACGGGUGAGUAAUGUCUGGGAAACUGCCUGAUGGAGGGGGAUAACUACUGGAAACGGUAGCUAAUACCGCAUACCAUCGGAUGUGCCCAGAUGGGAUUAGCUAGUAGGUGGGGUAAAGGCUCACCUAGGCGACGAUCCCUAGCUGGUCUGCGAGGAUGACCAGCGAGACUGGAACUGUGACACGGUCCAGGAUACUACGGGAGGCAGCAGUGGGGAAUAUUGCACAAGGGGCACAAGAUGGAGGCGUCCAUGCCGCGUGUGUGAAGAAGGCCUGCGGGUUGUAAAGUACUUGCAGCGGGGAGGCGUUACCCGCAGCAGAAGCACCGGCUAACGCCGUGCCAGCAGCCGCGGUAAUUC
rnacentral:rRNA from 1 species